rnacentral:rRNA from 1 species
CCUACGGGAGGCAGCAGUGGGGAAUAUUGCGCAAUGGGCGAAAGCCUGACGCAGCGACGCCGCGUGAGGGAUGAAGGUCUUCGGAGCGUAAACCUCUGUCAGCAGGGAAGAACGGUCACUGUGCUAAUCAGCAGUGAAUUGACGGUACCUGCAAAGGAAGCACCGGCUAACUCCGUGCCAGCAGCCGCGGGAAUACGGAGGGUGCGAGCGGUAAUCGGAAUUACUGGGCGUAAAGCGCUCGUAGGCGGUAUGUCAAGUCAAGGGGGAAAUCCCCGCGCUCAACGUGGGAACUGCCUUUGAAACUGGGAAACUGGAGUGUGUGAGAGGAUAGUGGAAUUCCAGGUGUAGGAGUGAAAUCCGUAGAUAUCUGGAGGAACAUCAGUGGCGAAGGCGACUAUCUGGCACAUAACUGACGCUGAGGAGCGAAAGCGUGGGUAGCAAACAGGAUUAGAUACCCGUGUAGUC